rnacentral:rRNA from 1 species
UACGAAGGGGGCGAGCGUUGUUCGGAAUUACUGGGCGUAAAGCGCGCGUAGGCGGAUUAGAAAGUUGGGGGUGAAAUCCCGGGGCUCAACCCCGGAACUGCCUCCAAAACUGCCUAGCUAGAGUAUGGUAGAGGAUGGCGGAAUUUCCUGUGUAGCGGUGAAAUGCGUAGAUAUAUGGAGGAAUACCGGUGGCGAAGGCGGCCUCCUGGCUCGACAUUGACGCUGAGGUGCGAAAGCGUGGGGAGCAAACGGG